CUUUUCCUCUCUCUUUCUUCGUCGUUUAUGUGUUUGUGUGUGUGUGUGUUGCUUUUUUUCCCUUCUUUGUAAGAGUUGUCGGAAAGAUUUGAUCAAAUGUGGACUCGGAUGACCAAUACUUUUGAAACUUUUACGAGGGAUGCUUGGAAAAGUUUCUUUUUUAUCGAAACAACAUAAAUCUUUUGAUUUAAUGUCCUCUAGUCAUUUUGAAAAUGGACUAAGUUAAAAUAUUGCAAAAACUUGGCAUGUGCUGAUACGAUUUUCUUUUUAACAAAUAACUAGGUUUUUACGACCAGUGGAAAUAAAUUAAUAACUUAUUCCUCAAAUUGUUUAACACAUGUACGUUUAUUUCUAUUUAAAUGUAAAAUGUGUAAAAAACCAACUGUCAGAAAUGUGGAAAAACUUGACGACCAAGCUACUUUCAGUUAGUAAACGUUCGUGUGUUCUCGAUAAAUAUAAUAAUCAUCAUGAUUUUCUUGAGAAUAAUCUUUCUCUGUUUCAUUCUUUUAUCAUAACAUUUAUUCAAUUUGUAUUUCUUUUUUUUUUUUUAAUGUGUGAAUGUCCUGUUAGGAAUCUUUACGAUUUAUAAUUAAGCAUUCAUAGUAUGAAUACUUGGAAAUGAAAAGCUUAAGCUAAUUAUUCUUAGCACGUUGUUAGUUAACGUCUUCGAACCAUUUCCUGCGAUUAUAGUGUUUAUAUAUCUAACAUUGAUGCGUCCAAAGGGUGGUUAAGUUACGUGGUUCAAUUCUAUGAAAGAACACACCUUUACUCAAGGAAACAUAUCUACUAUUUCAAAUAACUUUGACCUUUUUUUUUUAUACCAACUUCAAAUCAUGGAUUAAAUCCCCUACCCAGUCCAUGUUAUCCGACAAUUAUUCAUUUAUUAUAAUACGUUCGAAGAUUAACGUUUAUUUUGCACGAGUCUUCCGAGAAGUACACAUGAUUAAUUUUUCAUGCUAAUUAAUUACUCAUUUUGCAGCAGAGAUAUAUCCACUGGGUGUUCCAUAAAUCACAUUACUGAGAGUAGAAGAAGAAGAAAAAGAAGUGGUUUACAGGAUUACGUAAGAUGACUCGUUGAACAAAUUUAGAACACUCGUCAUCAGGUUUGGACCCAGGUGAUACAACAGAAGAGGACGUUGAUCGCGGGUGGUGCGUAUGGAAAUGGGCCCAAGGUUACCAAACGGAGACUGCCCAAAUACCCAAAUACAUACAAUUAUAGCUUACGAGCUGGCUACGAGCUAAAUCUAUCGACGAAUCUCCUUUUAUUGCGAAAGGACCACCAAACAAUACAUUUAACUUUCUUUACGUUGCACAUGCAUGAUUAUUUUCUUCUAAUUUAUUAUUAAAUCAUUGUUAUUUUACAUGUGUUAUUUUGUUAGUAUUUUAAAUCAAUGUUUAUACGUUGUAGGAAAGAAGUCAUGGUUAAUAAAAAUUGUGCGUCUCAGUUACAUCAUAUUUAACCUUGGUCCAGGCAUAAACAACUUCUAGAAAGCAAGUUCAAACGCCUGUCAAACUGUGUUCGGACACAUUCUAUGGAACGUGUACCUGUUAGUGAAUUUCAAUACGAUAACGAAACUGAAGAUGGUUAAAAAAAAAAAACAAGUAGAAGAAGAAGAAGUUGAUAUUUAAAGUGAGAUAAAGAAGAUCAUAAGAUCACUUCCGCUUUGAUGAAAAUGAAACUAACAACGUGAUAGGAUGUGCAAUGACAAGAAUAAGAAGAAUGAUGGAAGGAAGGGAAAGGGAAAUAAAGGGAGCGGUUGGAUGAUUCGUGAAAGAUAAGAAUAAGAAAGAGAUAGAAUGAAAUAGUAGUGGUACUCUUACGUUGGGCCUUAUCGGAAACGACGCAGGUGUCCUCUGUUAAGAGAAUACUCAGCGAAAGGCUUCAAAGGGUUAAUGAUCUUCCUCUCUUUCCGUGUACUACACACAUAUACAACAAAAGUCAGAUGAAUGUAGAGACAGUAUGUUCGCGUGUUCACGCGCAAGAAUACAAACACGAGAUGACGAGCUUCUUGCUAAUCGUCGGUGUCGCUGGCCGCUCUCGAGGUCUCCUUGUAAGAUUCCAACGUGUGCGUCACGCGAUUUCUACGUCUCUUGGAGAGACAAACGAUUACUAUUACUACUACUACUGCUAUUACUACUAUUACUACUACUAUACUUAAUUCGCUAAAUAUUUAUCUAUACGUGUAUAAAUGAAAGGUGAUUUUAUACGAUAGCGAUUGAUUCGAAAGGAGGGUUGAGUGGGGGAGAAAGGAAGAGGUUGGCUUUUUGCGCAGAAAAUUUCCGUGAGAAUGGAUAAUUUAUACGAGAAUUUUUUAAUAUUUUAUAUAAUUAUGUUGAAUAGUGUUGAAUUCAUGAUAAAUAUUAUUAUAUUUCAUUAUGUUAUUCUUAAUGAAAUAAUAUAUGGGAUGAUUCAAUGAAUUCUUGA